rnacentral:misc_RNA from 1 species
GAUGAAGAACGUAGCGAAAUGCGAUAAGUAGUGUGAAUUGCAGAAUUCAGUGAAUCAUCGAAUCUUUGAACGCACAUUGCGCCCCCUGGUAUUCCGGGGGGCAUGCCUGUUCGAGCGUCAUUUCACCACUCAAGCCUCGCUUGGUAUUGGGCAACGCGGUCCGCCGCGUGCCUCAAAUCGACCGGCUGGGACUUCUGUCCCCUAAGCGUUGUGGAAACUAUUCGCUAAAGGGUGUUCGGGAGGCUACGCCGUAAAACAACCCCAUUUCUAAGGUUGACCUCGGAUCAGGUAGGGAUACCCGCUGAACUUAAGCAUAUCAAUAAGCGGAGGA